rnacentral:rRNA from 1 species
ACGUAGGUGGCAAGCGUUGUCCGGAUUUACUGGGCGUAAAGGGCGCGCAGGCGGCCGCUCAAGUCAGAUGUGAAAGCCCCGGGCUCAACCUGGGAACUGCAUUUGAUACUGAGUGGCUAGAGUUCGGGAGAGGAGAGUGGAAUUCCCAGUGUAGAGGUGAAAUUCGUAGAUAUUGGGAAGAACACCAGUGGCGAAGGCGACUUACUGGACACGUAUUGACGCUGAGGUGCGAAAGCGUGGGGAGCAAACAGGA